rnacentral:rRNA from 1 species
UACAGAGGCCUCGAGCGUUAGGCGGAAUCACUGGGCUUAAAGCGUGUGUAGGCGGACUUCUAAGUACCUUGUGAAAUCCCACGGCUCACCCGUGGAACUGCUCGGUAUACUGGUUGUCUUGAGCCUUCUAGGGGCGAGUGGAACAAAUGGUGGAGCGGUGAAAUGCGUAGAUAUCAUUUGGAACGCCAAUGGUGAAAACAACUCGCUGGGGAAGUGCUGACGCUGAGACACGAAAGCCAGGGGAGCGAACAGG